rnacentral:tRNA from 1 species
AAAGGGAGACCUAAUUCGGGUAUAAGACGAAAAAAUAGUAGUCGAAACCAAGAAUCAAUCCCAAAAGGUCGGAACGAGGUAUGUGGCUUUCAAACUAGGUUCUGGGUUCAUAAAAGACCUGAAUCAGGAACAAGGGCUAUUAGCCCAGGUGGUUAGAGCGCACCCCUGAUAAGGGUGAGGUCCCUGGUUCGAGUCCAGGAUGGCCCACCUGCACAGGUGGCAAAAACAAAGAAAAGAAGCGAGGAAUCAGCACCUUAUCUUACUUAUAUAGUAAGAGAGAAUGCUGGCUCUGAGUACAGAGUCCAGAGGAACCUUGAAAACUGCAUAGAGCUAGGUAAAAAAGCCAAAAAAGAAGACCGCAAG